CCUACGUGAGGCAGCAGUGGGGGAUAUUGCACAAUGGGGGAAACCCUGAUGCAGCGACGCCGCGUGGGUGAAGAAGCGCCUCGGCGCGUAAAGCCCUGUCAGCAGGGAAGAAAAUGACGGUACCUGAAGAAGAAGCCCCGGCUAACUACGUGCCAGCAGCCGCGGUAAUACGUAGGGGGCAAGCGUUAUCCGGAUUUGCUGGGUGUAAAGAGUUGCGUAGGUGGCAUAAUAAGUAGCUAGUGAAAUCUGGUGGCUCAACCAUUCAGACUAUUAGCUAAACUGUUAAGCUCGAGACCGUUAGGGGUAACUGGAAUUUCUAGUGUAGGAGUGAAAUCCGUAGAUAUUAGAAAGAACACCAAUAGCGUAGGCAGGUUACUGGGACGGUUCUGACACUAAGGCACGAAAGCGUAGGGAGCAAACGGGAUUAGAUACCCGGGUAGUC
rnacentral:rRNA from 1 species